UACAGAGGUGCCGAGCGUUAGGCGGAAUCACUGGGCUUAAAGCGUGUGUAGGCGGACGUCUAAGUACCUUGUGAAAUCCCACGGCUCACCCGUGGAACUGCUGGGUAUACUGGUUGGUCUUGAGCCAGCUAGGGGCGAGCGGAACAGACGGUGGAGCGGUGAAAUGCGUAGAUAUCGUCUGGACGCCGAAGGUGAAAACAGCUCGCUGGGGCUGCGCUGACGCUGGAGACACGAAAGCCAGGGAGCGAACGGG
rnacentral:rRNA from 1 species